rnacentral:rRNA from 1 species
AUUGAACGCUGGCGGAAUGCUUUACACAUGCAAGUCGAACGGCAGCACGGGGGCAACCCUGGUGGCGAGUGGCGAACGGGUGAGUAAUACAUCGGAACGUGCCCGGUCGUGGGGGAUAACGUAUCGAAAGUUACGCUAAUACCGCAUACGAUCUGAGGAUGAAAGCGGGGGACCUUCGGGCCUCGCGCGAUCGGAGCGGCCGAUGUCAGAUUAGGUAGUUGGUGGGGUAAAGGCCUACCAAGCCGACGAUCUGUAGCUGGUCUGAGAGGACGACCAGCCACACUGGGACUGAGACACGGCCCAGACUCCUACGGGAGGCAGCAGUGGGGAAUUUUGGACAAUGGGCGCAAGCCUGAUCCAGCCAGUCCGCGUGCAGGACGAAGGCCUUCGGGUUGUAAACUGCUUUUGUAUGGAACGAAAAGGCUCUGGCUAAUACCUGGGGCUCAUGACGGUACCGUAAGAAUAAGCACCGGCUAACUACGUG